CGCAAAGAAAAAGAGAGAGAGGAAUCUUCUCCCAUCCUCUCCAUCGAAUAUGUGUUUGUAUUCGUGUUUUUUUUCCGUGUGUAUCCUUGUUUUGACUUUUGUUUCUUUCUCUCUCUC
rnacentral:ribozyme from 11 species